rnacentral:rRNA from 1 species
GAGCGGNACCGCCUUCGGGGAUACCGAGCAGCGAACGGGUGAGUACACGUGGGUGACCUGCCUUAANCUCUGGGAUAAGCCUGGGAAACUGGGUCUAAUACUGGAUAUGACUCCAUGCUGCAUGGUGUGGGGUGGAAAGCCUUGUGCGGCUAGAGAUGGGCCCGCGGCCUAUCAGCUUGUUGGUGGGGUGAUGGCCUACCAAGGCGACGACGGGUAGCCGGCCUGAGAGGGCGAUCGGCCACUCUGGGACUGAUACACUGCCCAGACUCCUACGGGAGGCAUCAGUGGGGAAUCUUGCGCAAUGGGCGAAAGCCUGACUCAUCGACUCCGCGUGAGGGAUGACGGCCUUCGGGUUGUAAACCUCUUUCAGCCUUGACGAAUCGUAUGUGACUGUAUGGGCAUAAGAAUCACCGGCCAACUACGUGCCAGCAUCCGCGGUAAU